rnacentral:rRNA from 1 species
UACGUAGGGGGCAAGCGUUGUCCGGAAUCAUUGGGCGUAAAGAGCGUGUAGGCGGCCAGAUAAGUCCGCUGUGAAAUCUCGAGGCUCAACUUCGAGCUGUCGGUGGAAACUGUCUGGCUAGAGCCCGGAAGAGGAGAAUGGAAUUCCUGGUGUAGCGGUGAAAUGCGCAGAUAUCAGGAAGAACACCCGUGGCGAAAGCGCUCUGCUAGGCCGCAACUGACACUGAGGGACGAAAGCUAGGGGAGCGAAUGGG